rnacentral:rRNA from 1 species
GCAAUGCCGCGUGAACGAGGAAGGUCUUCGGAUCGUAAAGUUCUGUUGAAGGGGAAAAAGAGCGGAAGAGAGGAAAUGGUCUCCGUAUUGAUAUUACCCUUCGAGGAAGUCACGGCUAACUACGUGCC